ACUAGUACAAUUGACUUCCAAUCAGUUAGCUCCAGAUCAACCUGGAAAGAANU
rnacentral:tRNA from 1 species